CGAGUGGUGGAAUACUUUGACUCAUGGGAGAGAAGCUGAGGCGAAGGCGUCUACCUAGAGGGUUUCUGUCGAUCAAGGGCGAGAGUAGGAGUAUCCAACAGGAUUAGAGACCCUGGUAGUUCCUACCUUAAACGAUGCCGACAGGAGUUUGUCAUUUGUUAAUGGCAGAAUCUUUGGAGAAAUCAUAGUUCUUGGGCUCUGGGGGAACUACGACCGCAAGGCUGAAACUUGAAGGAAUUGACGGAAGGGCACACCAGGGGUGGAGCCUGUGGCUUAAUUUGAAUCAACACGGGGAAACUUACCAGGACCAGAUGUUUUUUAUGACUGACAGGCUUCGGGUCUUUCAGGAUAUUGUUUUUGGUGGUGCAUGGCCGUUGGUGGUGCGUGGGUUGACCUGUCUAGCGUUGAUUCAGCUAACGAGCGAGAUUAUCGCCAAUUAUUUACUUUGCCGAAGUCCUUCGGUUAAAGUUCUAAUUGGGACUCCCUGCGAUUUUAGCAGGUGGAAGAGGGUAGCAAUAACAGGUCCGUGAUGCCCUUUAGAUGCUCUGGGCUGCACGCGUGCUACAAUGUUAGGAUCAAUAGGACUGCGAGCCUGAGAGGGUGCGCUACUCUUAUAAUCCCUAACGUAGUUGGGAUUGACGUUUGUAAUCAGCGUCAUGAACCAGGAAUCCCUUGUAAAUGUGUGUCAACAACGCACGUUGAAUACGUCCCUGCCCUUUGUACACACCGCCCGUCGCUCCUACCGAUUGGAUGACUCGGUGAAAUCACCGGAUGCUUACGAGCAGAAAGUGAUUAAAUCACGUUAUCUAGAGGAAGGAGAAGUCGUAACAAGGUAACGGUAGGUGAACCUGCCGUUGGAUCAGUU
rfam:Trichomonas vaginalis G3, whole genome shotgun sequence.